UUGCGUGGGCGCAGCCUGACCGCCUGCCGCGUGAGUGAUGAAGGCCUUCGGGUUGUAAAGCUCUUUUGGCGGGGACGAUGAUGACGGUACCCGCAGAAUAAGCCCCGGCUAACUUCGUGCCAGCAGCCGCGGUAAGACGAAGGGGGCUAGCGUUGUUCGGAAUUACUGGGCGUAAAGCGAGUGUAGGUGGUUGUCCAAGUUGGAUGUGAAAGCCUUGAGCUCAACUCAAGAAAUGCAUUCAGGACUGGAUGGCUAGAGGACCGGAGAGGAUAGUGGAAUUCCCAGUGUAGUGGUGAAAUACGUAGAGAUUGGGAAGAACACCAGUGGCGAAGGCGGCUAUCUGGACGGUUUCUGACACUAAGACUCGAAA
rnacentral:rRNA from 1 species